UAGAUCACAGAACUGGUUUAAAUGCAUGCUAUGUAUCCUGACUGGAUCAGAGCGGAAUGAUCGCUAUGACUCAUGGAUCUGGCCUCGCUCUGUGAAUAAAUCUAUCACAGUCACUGAAGAUUGACAAUUUGAUUGAUUGAUGAUGAAGGAUGUUCGGUUGGACUCAAGGGAGCAUAAGAGACAAAGAGGAAUCUGGCGUAUAUAAACAUGUUUUUGUUUUUCAGAAAAAUAUGCUGUAUAAGAAAAAAAAAAACAACAAUGGAGAAAAACAUUAUGUGUUUCCAGAGAGACCCUCCGGCAUCGGCUCCAUCUGUCACAGAAUGUCUUCAGAGUGGGCAGAGACAUCGCUGUGCCAAAGGCGCUAAGACUGAGAGAUACAGCAGUUUUGCAUGGAAGAAUAUCACACAACCGAGAAAUUUAUUCAGCAAUUACCCCGACAUGCCGCUAACUAGCUACACAACCUUACGGCCCGAAUUCGUUGAAGAAUCCCCGUCAGGACCAUCUGCCAGUGUUUGGACAUGAGUCGAAGGCGAUAUUAAAGCAGAUGUUAGUCGGUCUCCAGGCGGUUCUCCCAGUCUGCACGGCUCACUCCCGCCCUCUAGCUGAUGGUCCAGUUAUUACCUGUCUGGCCAGGACGUCCAAAUCAAGAAGAGGCCAGUGGCGUCCGAACACAGUGAGAGCGUGUUUCACCAACAUCUGUGAACAGUGCUUGUUUGGCUCAGGCUCAGGCUUCCACUCUACCUGAAAUCACAUCAGGUCAAACAGCAUGUGAGAGUCUAAAACCCGGUACCAGCCGUUUGGAUAAACCGGCGGUAAUUCUCCGGUCUUCCGUCGCCGCCGCACUUCGUUGGCCGCCUGGGCACGAGAGCGCCCGUCCUCCGCGAUGUACCCCACCU